GCUGGACAUGGUGGCUCAUGCCUGUAAUCUCAGCAGCUCAGGAAGCUGAGACAGGAGGUUUGAAGCCAGCUUCAGCAACUUAGCAAGGCUGUAAGCAACCUAAUGAGAUCCUGUCUCAA
rnacentral:sRNA from 1 species